GAUGAAGAACGCAGCGAAAUGCGAUAAGUAAUGUGAAUUGCAGAAUUCAGUGAACCAUCGAAUCUUUGAACGCACAUUGCGCCCGGCAGUAAUCUGCCGGGCAUGCCUGUCCGAGCGUCAUUUCUGCCCUCGAGCGAGUCCAGCAUCUAGGUGCUGGGCCCGCCCGGCGUUGGGGCACUACGGGAAGCCCUGUGCUGUCCCCCGUAGGCCCCGAAAUGAAGUGGCGGUCCUGCCGCGGCGCCCCCUGCGUAGUAUAACAGCUCGCUUCGGGACCCGGUGGAGGCCUGCCGUCAAACCUUACUCUCUAAGUUUGAUCUCGGAUCAGGUAGGGUUACCCGCUGAACUUAAGCAUAUCAAUAAGCGGAGGA
rnacentral:misc_RNA from 1 species